rnacentral:rRNA from 1 species
AGCAUGUGGUUUAAUUCGAUGAUACGCGAGGAACCUUACCUGGGCUCAAAUGUAUGUUGACGUAUUCUGAAAGGGAUACUUCUUCGGACAAUAUACAAGGUGCUGCAUGGUUGUCGUCAGCUCGUGCCGUGAGGUGUCGGGUUAAGUCCCAUAACGAGCGCAACCCCUAUCAUUAGUUGCCAUCAGGUCAAGCUGGGGACUCUAAUGAAACUGCCUACGCAAGUAGUGAGGAAGGUGGGGAUGACGUCAAAUCAGCACGGCCCUUACGUCCAGGGCUACACACGUGCUACAAUGGCCGGUACAAAGGGCAGCUACCUGGUGACAGGAUGCUAAUCUCAAAAGCCGGUCUCAGUUCGGAUCGGAGUCUGCAACCCGACUCCGCGAAGCUGGAAUCGCUAGUAAUCGCGCAUCAGCCAUGGCGCGGUGAAUACGUUCCCGGGCCUU